rnacentral:rRNA from 1 species
AGAGUUUGAUCCUGGCUCAGGAUGAACGCUGGCGGCGUGCCUAACACAUGCAAGUCGAGCGAUUCUCUUCGGAGAAGAGCGGCGGACGGGUGAGUAACGCGUGGGUAACCUGCCCUGUACACACGGAUAACAUACCGAAAGGUAUGCUAAUACGAGAUAAUAUGCUUUUAUCGCAUGGUAGAAGUAUCAAAGCUUUUGCGGUACAGGAUGGACCCGCGUCUGAUUAGCUAGUUGGUAAGGUAACGGCUUACCAAGGCGACGAUCAGUAGCCGACCUGAGAGGGUGAUCGGCCACAUUGGAACUGAGACACGGUCCAAACUCCUACGGGAGGCAGCAGUGGGGAAUAUUGCACAAUGGGCGAAAGCCUGAUGCAGCAACGCCGCGUGAGCGAUGAAGGCCUUCGGGUCGUAAAGCUCUGUCCUCAAGGAAGAUAAUGACGGUACUUGAGGAGGAAGCCCCGGCUAACUACGUGCCAGCAGCCGCGGUAAUACGUAGGGGGCUAGCGUUAUCCGGAAUUACUGGGCGUAAAGGGUGCGUAGGUGGUUUCUUAAGUCAGAGGUGAAAGGCUACGGCUCAACCGUAGUAAGCCUUUGAAACUGGGAAACUUGAGCGCAGGAGAGGAGAGUGGAAUUCCUAGUGUAGCGGUGAAAUGCGUAGAUAUUAGGAGGAACACCAGUUGCGAAGGCGGCUCUCUGGACUGUAACUGACACUGAGGCACGAAAGCGUGGGGAGCAAACAGGAUUAGAUACCCUGAUAGUCCACGCCGUAAACGAUGAGUACUAGCUGUCGGAGGUUACCCCCUUCGGUGGCGCAGCUAACGCAUUAAGUACUCCGCCUGGGAAGUACGCCCGCAAGAGUGAAACUCAAAGGAAUUGACGG